rnacentral:lncRNA from 1 species
AAGGGUGGAGGAUCUGUGGGAAGUGAGGAACCCUAAUUUGUUGGAGAGAGCGAUCCCCGAUCUAACUCGGUUGCACAAUGCUGCCAUUUCUGCGAUGCGAAUUGCGAAACCCUAAUUUUCAGAAGAUUCAAGUCACAGACACAGUGGCGUGAAAUGAAACCGAUGCUUUGCUUCUCAAUAGUGAGAGAGAGCUAGUGCUGUAGCUUCCAACACGUUCUUUUUUUUUAUGCAAGCGAAUUACACGUUCUCUUUUUUUUUUCUGGCAAUGCAGGCUUUUUUUUAACAAAAGAGUGUUAAAUUGAAUAUGCUAGUAUUCAUAUACUACUUCGGCCCCGUUUGGAAGAGCUUAUUUAAGCUUAUCUGAUAUCAUAAGUAUUUAUACAAGUGUUUCAGAGAGCUUAUGCAAACAACUUAUGACAUUGUUUGGAAAAACAACUUAAUUAAGCGCUUAUGUUGGCCUAUGACAUAAGUGUUUAUUCAUAAGCUAUUUUAAAAAGAUUUUUGAAAUAAAUUGAAAAAAAACUAUAUAUAAGCAUAAGCUAUUUUUCAUAAGUCAUCCUAAAUAGCUUAUGAAAAUAAGUAAGUUGUUUUCAUAAGUUCUCUCAAACACUGACAUAAGCGCUUAUGCUAUCAGAUAAGCUCUUUCAAACGGGGCCUAUGGGCUAUGGCCUCUCAUAAGUUGUUUUGAGUUUAUUUCCCUAAGUUACUCAGGAUAGCUUAUGAAAAAAAAGUUUAUGCUUAUAUAUAGCUUAUUUUUAAUUAUUUUAGUAGUUUUUUUUUAAAUAACUUAUGAACAAGCGUUUAUGACCAUAAGCGUUAAGGUGUUUUAAAAAUGUCUUAUCGAAUGGGAUCUUCCGUGUGAUGACAGCCAAUUGUUACUAGGAAAAAUAUUAAUUUGAAGUUUUAAUUAGUUGGAUGAAAGAAUAUGAUUUACUAGACUGAGUGACUAUCACAUCACAUGCUAGAUUUUUUUAUAAAAAUAAAAAAUAGUGACAAUUUCGUUACAAAAGGGAAAUACACAUAUUUACUAUUCCAAGUUUUUGUAUUUCACGAGAUUCACAAAUAAAUAUACACUACAUUAGAAAAUUACUCAAUCUUCACAAUCAUUCAGGGUAUUGUGCACUCUUGUUCUCCAUCAGGAGAAAAAAAAAUCCCCGAAAUGUAAUUUUGAUCAAAAUUCAACUCAACUUAGGACUUUGCAAAAUACUACUACAUCCUAAAAAAGGAAAAAAAAAUGCACAUAAAAAAUACUUUGUUUUAUCACAACUAGAUAAAACCUCUCCAAGGUAGUUUUUUUUUUAACAAUGUAAAAAGUGUUAUCGAUCAAUCAAUAGAACGAAAAUGAUAGAGGAAAAUAGAGUGAUGAACGCGAUGUUUUACCAGAGGGGCAACAAGGGUGGUGGAUCUGUGGGAAGUCAGGAACCCUAAUUUGUUGGAGAGAGAUCCCCGAUCUAACUCGGUUACACAAUGC